rnacentral:snoRNA from 1 species
AAACUGUGAUGCAGGCACUUUCUCAACGAGUCCUUGAAUCUUUCCACAAGCUUCAUACAGGCUUUCUUGAUCAUGGUGAGCAAAUGUCAUUAUCUCAUUGCGCAAUUUU